ACAGAAUAAACCACAUGAUGUUAGCACAUCAGUGAAGGACAAUGAGUAAAUUACAUUAAUAACAUCCUGUAAUUUGAUUUUAAUAUUACUAUUUAUUACAUAUUUUGAUAGAUUACAAUUUAACACCAAUGAGAGCAUUUUAAAACUGAUCAUUAUUCAGAAAUGAUUAACCACGACAAAUGACGAUGGACUACUAUCAACAGCAACAUACCACACACACCCGAAUUGUCCAACUUCACCAUUAAAGAGUGUCUGAAAGCCUCUCUUGUCGUAAGAAGAUAUCAGACCAGCAUUCUGCACCCAGAGUAACCUACUCUUAUCACACAAAUGGUUGAAAGACUUUGAAACAUCCUCCUAAACUAACUUGGAGGAAGCUUAGGACUUAUCCAAACACUGGAGUCCUCACCGUGGUCAUUAGACUCGGGUGUGCGGAACAUCCUGGUAACUACGGGAGACAAGUCCUCGUAGGCGGAGCCAAGUGAUUGACAGGUGAGGUGAACCAAAUCUGAGGGGACAAAAACAAAGGUGACAUGGUUUCUUUCUUUGUCCACAAAGUGAUGAAGAUGAUCUCACGUGUUCCUGGCAUGCACGUCAUGGUGGAAGGACACAGCUCCACCAUCCUGACUGCGGGGCGCCCCGCCUCCAUCGGAGGGACCGUUACCACGGAGACCUGGAGCAAACACGCCGUGAGUUCAUUGUGCGUGGAAGGCGUCGAUGAUGCAACUCACCUGCUGCUCGGAGUCGCUCGGCAGGAUAGAGCGGUCUGUGAUCAGCACGGCUCUGGAAAUAAACCUGGAGAGAGGAAGGUGGCCACGCCCCCUUCAUUAACGCUCUUCAAGGUAAAAGGCGGCGCGUAGGGUCUCACCUGGUGGGCGUGGCCAUCCUCUUAAAGUCUGCCGACAAGUAGUUGUCUUCUAGCACAAAAUGGCUGCCAGAGAUUCGCUGUCCGUGGCUGUCAAUCACCGCCUUACAUCUGGCGGGAAGGGGGAGGAGCCAGGAUGAGACGACGCAGGUAGUGAUGAAGAGGAGGCGUGGCUACCUGUUGGUGGUCUUGUCAAGGAGCAGGCAGCUGACGGGGUGUCUGAGGCAGUAGACGCCGCCGAAGACUGCACACAUCCUGAAAGCAGCGUCACAUUGAGGCCUCGCCUCCUCGACUUUGCUCGCCCCUUUUUCCUUACCGACAGAAACACUGCGGGAUCUCGCCCAGGCCGUAGACGGGGAACAGGAAGGGCGUGUUACCGUAGCGACCCAGGCAUCGCAGGAAGUGGCGCGUGGCGGCCAGGCCCUCGUCGGCGGGCGUGUCCUCGGUCACCAUGGCGAUAGAGUGGAGCAGGAAGUGCUCCAGGUUGUCACCCAGCUGCCGCUGUUGGAGAAACUCCAAAUAUGUCCGCGCGCCGUCUAGUGCGAGGAACGUAGUGAGAAGAGGCGGCGGGGAAAGGACGCGGACAUCCGGCGACGUACGUCUCACCCUCGCGCUCCUCCGUCUCCUCCAUACAGGAAGUGAGGAAACGCAUCAACUUCCUCUUCUCCACCACCGACAGCUCACGACUGGCGAACACGUCGGCGCGGCUGCACGGCACCUGGCGGACCACACGCCGGUCACGCGGACGUCUCGCCUCAAAGUGCACCGGCGACGUACCUGCUCCACGUUUCCACGGCGAUAGGUCGACCAACGAGCCUCGAGCAAACAUCAACUAAAAGGAUAAGGAAACGUCGGCGCUGGAUGGACGAUGACGGGGUAUGAGGUCCUCUGUUACCUUGGAGACCAGAUCGAUGUUGAACCGUCGUCCUUCUUUCACCAGCUGAGCAAAGGUGAUCUUCUUGCAUGGCGUUAAUUGGCUGGCGGCGUC